rnacentral:pre_miRNA from 1 species
UAACUUGGGGCUUGAUCCAGAGCCCACUGAAGACAAUAGGAACCUUUCCAUGGUUUCAAUGGGCUUUGGAUCAGGCCUUUGGAAA